AGUGAACGCUGGCGGUAGGCCUAACACAUGCAAGUCGAACGGCAGCACAGUAAGAGCUUGCUCUUACGGGUGGGGAGUGGCGGGCGGGAGAGGAAUACAUCGUAAUCUACUUUUUCGUGGGGGAUAACGUAGGGGAACUUAAUCUAAUACCGCAUACGACCUACCGGUGUAAGCAUGGGAAAUUCUCAGCUUGCGCGAUUGGAUGCGCCGAUGUGGUAGUAGAUAGUUGGGGGGGUAAUGGCCAACCAAGGCGGCGAUCCGUAGCUGGACUGAGAGGCUGAUCGGCCACACUGGAGCUGAGACACGCUCCAGACGCCUACGGGAGGGAGCAGUGGGGAAUGUUGGACAAUGGGCGCAAGUCUGAUCCAGCCAUACCGCGUGGGUGAAGGAGGCCUUCGGGUUGUAAAGACGUUUUGUUGGGAGAGAAGAGCAGCAGGUUAAUACCACGCGGUUCUGACGGUACCCAAAGAAUAAGCACCGGCUAACUUCGUG
rnacentral:rRNA from 1 species